rnacentral:rRNA from 1 species
AGCUCCAAUAGCGUAUAUUAAAGUUGCUGCAGUUAAAAAGCUCGUAGUUGCAUUUCCGAGGCAAGGGAUUAGUCCGACCUUUGGUGGGUAUUUAAUCCUCUUGCCUCGUCCUUGAGUGGUGCUUCUUGGUAUUAAGUUAUCGAGGAGAUAGCCGCUCAUCGUUUACUGUGAGAAAAUUAGAGUGUUCAAAGCAGGCUUAUGCCGUUGAAUAUAUUAGCAUGGAAUAAUAAGAUAGGUCCUCGGUACUAUUUUGGUGGUUUGAGAACCAAGGUAAUGAUGAAUAGGGACAGUUGGGGGUAUUCGUAUUCAGUUGUCAGAGGUGAAAUUCUUAGAUUUACGGAAGACGAACUACUGCGAAAGCAUUUACCAAGGAUGUUUUCA